rnacentral:tRNA from 1 species
GCACUGGUGGUUUAGUGGUAAAAUUGGCGCUUGCCAUAACAAGUAUGCGCCAGCCCCGGGUUCGAUUCCCGGCCAAUGCA